GACGAACGCUGGCGGCGUGCCUAAUACAUGCAAGUCGAACGCACAGUUUAUACCGUAGCUUGCUACACCAUAGACUGUGAGUUGCGAACGGGUGAGUAACGCGUAGGUAACCUGCCUGGUAGCGGGGGAUAACUAUUGGAAACGAUAGCUAAUACCGCAUAAUAUUAAUUAUUGCAUGAUAAUUAAUUGAAAGGUGCAAUUGCACCACUACCAGAUGGACCUGCGUUGUAUUAGCUAGUAGGUGAGGUAACGGCUCACCUAGGCGACGAUACAUAGCCGACCUGAGAGGGUGAUCGGCCACACUGGGACUGAGACACGGCCCAGACUCCUACGGGAGGCAGCAGUAGGGAAUCUUCGGCAAUGGACGAAAGUCUGACCGAGCAACGCCGCGUGAGUGAAGAAGGUUUUCGGAUCGUAAAGCUCUGUUGUAAGAGAAGAACGGGUGUGAGAGUGGAAAGUUCACACUGUGACGGUAUCUUACCAGAAAGGGACGGCUAACUACGU
rnacentral:rRNA from 1 species